UUUUUAGUAAUUUUUGUCAUGCUUAAUUGCAUUUUGAGUCGUAUUUAUUUAUUUUUUAUUUUGAGAGAUAGGUAUCACGUUACCCGCUUUGUUUAUUUCAUUUAGAAAUAAACUUGACUUAAAAUGUGAAUCAACAAGGAUUCGAACUUAAGUCUCGGGUACCAACCACCAAGCCUUUGUCACUUACUCUAGAGACUGGGUGAAUCGUAUUUAAAAUUG
rnacentral:lncRNA from 1 species